rnacentral:lncRNA from 13 species
AUAGAAAAUGUUGAAGCCCAGAUCCUCUUGAAUUCUCUGGGUUUCCAGGAACAUCCAACUCCUUCCAGCAAUAUACUAUCACUUUCACUGCUUGAAGACAAUCCAGCAGUCUCUAGCUUGCAACCCCACCUAAGAAUGUAGCCGCACCUCCUUUCCUAACCACCAGACCAGAGAUAGGAGAUAAACCCCAUGAAGAAUCAGCCCUAAUAGAGAUGGAGGAAAUACAGCUUAUUGGCAUCAGCCGUGAAGAAGUAUGACAUGUUUAUGAGAAAGCCAAUGAAUAAGGUUCUGAAAAUGAUGAUGUGGAGCAUCUCUCAAUGCUAAGAGCCACCAUGUUGUGAGGAAGCCCAAGUCACAUGGAGAGGCCAUGCCAAGUGUUCCAGCUGACAGCCUAGAGAAGGACACAGUGUACAGUCAGGAAUAAUCUACAGGAGCACAUUUAGAUGUAAACACCUCAGAAGAAGGCUUUCUGUUACCACCAUUUAUAUUGCUUCCAGACAGAAUACCAGCUGGAACCAACAUUCUGAGGUGAUGGGGCAUGGGAUAACUAAAUUCU